UGGGGAAUUUUGGACAAUGGGCGAAAGCCUGAUCCAGCAAUGCCGCGUGUGUGAAGAAGGCCUUCGGGUUGUAAAGCACUUUUGUCCGGAAAGAAAUCCUCUGGGUUAAUACCUCGGGGGGAUGACGGUACCGGAAGAAUAAGCACCGGCUAACUACGUGCCAGCAGCCGCGGUAAUACGUAGGGUGCAAGCGUUAAUCGGAAUUACUGGGCGUAAAGCGUGCGCAGGCGGUUUUGUAAGACGGAUGUGAAAUCCCCGGGCUUAACCUGGGAACUGCAUUCGUGACUGCAAGGCUAGAGUAUGGCAGAGGGGGGUUAGAAUUCCACGUGUAGCAGUGAAAUGCGUAGAGAUGUGGAGGAAUACCGAUGGCGAAGGCAGCCCCCUGGGCCAAUACUGACGCUCAUGCACGAAAGCGUGGGGAGCAAACAGGAUUAGAUACCCUGGUAGUCCACGCCCUAAACGAUGUCAACUAGUUGUUGGGGAUUCAUUUCCUUAGUAACGUAGCUAACGCGUGGAGUUGACCGCCUGGGGGAGUACGGUCGCAAGAUUAAAACUCAAAGGAAUUGACGGGGUCAUAGCUGUUUCCU
rnacentral:rRNA from 1 species